AGGACGAACGCUGGCGGCGUGCUUAAAACAUGCAAGUCGAACGAGCACUUCGGUGCGAGUGGCAAACGGCUGAGUAACGCGUGGGUGACCUGCCUGGAAGUGGGGAAUAACUGCCCGAAAGGGUGGCUAAUACCGCAUGUGAUGACCGGACCGAUCCGGUCAUGAAAGUCUUCGGAUGCUUCGAGAGGGGCCCGCGUUCGAUUAGCUAGUUGGUGGGGUAACGGCCUACCAAGGCGACGAUCGAUAGCUGGUCUAAGAGGAUGAUCAGCCAGACUGGGACUGCGACACGGCCCAGACUCCUACGGGAGGCAGCAGUUAGGAAUUUGGGCAAUGGGCGAAAGCCUGACCCAGCAACGCCGCGUGGGUGAUGAAGGCCUUCGGGUCGUAAAGCCCUUUUUCGAGGGAAGAUGAUGACGGUACCUGAGAAUAACGCCCGACUAACUACGUGCCAGCAGCCGC
rnacentral:rRNA from 1 species